UACGUAGGGUGCAAGCGUUAAUCGGAAUUACUGGGCGUAAAGCGUGCGCAGGCGGUUCGCUAAGACCGAUGUGAAAUCCCCGGGCUUUAACCUGGGAACUGCAUUGGUGACUGGCGGCUAGAGUAUGGCAGAGGGGGGUAGAAUUCCACGUGUAGCAGUGAAAUGCGUAGAGAUGUGGAGGAAUACCGAUGGCGAAGGCAGCCCCCUGGGCCAAUACUGACGCUCAUGCACGAAAGCGUGGGGAGCAAACAGG
rnacentral:rRNA from 1 species